GCCUGGGUGGCUCAGUCGGUUGAGCCUCUGACUUCAGCUCAGGUCAUGAUCUCGUGGUUUGUGAGUUCGAGCCCCACAUCAGGCU
rnacentral:tRNA from 1 species